GGGGUUGUGGCUCAGUGGUAGAGUGCUUGCCUGGCAUGAAGGACAUGAAGCACUGGGUUCGAUUCCCAGCACCA
rnacentral:tRNA from 1 species